rfam:Trachymyrmex cornetzi contig42851, whole genome shotgun sequence.
AUAAACGUCUUACAUACAUACAUACCAGUUCUCGUCCGAUCACUGAAGUCAAGCAGCGUUGGGCACGGUUAGUACUUGGAUGGAUGACCGCUUGGGAACACCGUGUAACGUUGGCC